AUGCAUGAAAGUCGUUGGUAUUCAUGACUUUAUGAAGAACUGAUUGAUAUCGUGAUGCAUGGAACGGAUUUGAUUACAUUUUUGUAGGAGUUCAGACUUACGGAGAAAAUCGACUUUCAUCAAUCUGUAGGAACAGAACUCUGACGCAAAACGAGGACCUCCUAUAUUUGUUUUCCAGUGUUGGUAGCACCUGUUGAUUCCUAUUUUUGAAGUUUUGUUGUGUUGAUGUUGUUCUUCUGAUGUGUGCCGUUCUGUUUUGCUCAUUGUGUCUGCAGGUGUAGGAACCAGGAACUACUACAGGAAGAUGGGCUAUGAGCUGGAGGGACCCUACAUGGUGAAGGACCUGUACGCUCCAGCAACAGACUGAACCUGAACAUGGUUUUAGCAGCAGCUUCUUCUGUUUAUCAGAACAGUGUUCCAGCUGUGUUGGUAGUGUAGCUGGAGGUGAUGGUUUCUGGGUUCUUCUAAUGCAGCUCCUUUUAUCUAGAACUCACUGGGCUGCUGCCUUCCUCCGAUGAGGAGACAUCCAGAGGACAUCCAGAACAACAUAGAGAUCAAUUCAAAAUGCAAACGUUCUUUACAGUCCUUGCAAAGACAUUUAAAGUUCUAAAUAAUUGAUAUAAAAAGUGCAGUAACAGUAACAGUUUUCCUGCCCGUUGGCUUGUUUUAACCAGUUUUCUACCUUCGGCUGAUUCUACCAGCAGACACUGAAAGGACUCCGAUAGUUCGAGUGAAAGUAGCAGUUCCUCCUGAAGGUCAGAGAUUGCAGCAUCUGAGGACCUCUUCAAAAGAAGACGUAGUUGAUGAAGGCGUUCUGGAGCAGGACCAGAAAGACCACGACCAAGCAGCCUUGAGAUCUUAGACAGCGUCUCCCUCAGCUCUCGUAGGAGGCGGUCGCACUUUUCCUUGCUCCGCUAUCUCUGUUCCUCCCUCCCUACCCUCAUGUCUCCCUGCUUGCUGCAUUUCUUCGUCUUCGUCUCGUCUGUCUGACUUGGAGCGAUCGCUUGGCACUGGACCUUCGAAACACCGAUCAUGGAAUUGAUUAACUGGUCUCUCAACGCAAUUGACAAGAUUGUCGCCACAAAGAGCACAGGCCUAGGGGAGCCUACCUGCCCGGAUGGGCGUUUUGCCUCUGGUUACGUGAUCGACGCCUGGGGGAAGUGGAAGGGGAUCAUGUGCCUGGCACCCCUAUCCGUGGAGGAUGUGGAAGAUGUUAUAUUCGGAUUUAUGAUGACAGGCCUGCUGAUAAUUGGCUUGUUCACUGGCCUGAGCUUCUGGAAAAUCAGGAAGACCGCAGACAGAAACGACGUCCAAACUCUGCUGGUCUAUGCAAACGAACGGAUCACGGCUGCCGAUUCUCGGUAUGACGAACUCAAUCGUAAGAUGAACAAUUUGCUUGGUGUGACUGUUGAUUUGAGUCGCAGAUUGGAAGCCAUCCGGGUGAGAAUCGCUACAGCUGAAGUCUAAAAUUAUUGAGAGCAGUAGGGGGAAGGUGAAAUUACUUCUCUCCCGCCCAAACAUGAGAAUAACUGAUUACAUUCUGGCGCCCCUGGAACAAUAACAAACUCCUCUGGAAGUUUCAUGGCCAAGAGAUAGCUCUCCUAAACCCCCCCCACCUUCCCAAGGAAUCCUGUUGACUUUUGGACCGGGCCAACCGAGGACGUCUCCAUAGCAACCUUGCUGUGUUAUCGCGCUCCCACCCUCGCGAACUGAGACACCGGAGGUCUGAGACGGAAGAAGAUGGGCUACACUCAUACACAAACAUUCGGACUCAUGAACUGAGGACUGAGCUAAACAUUUGCACACACAUUCCCAUAUCCCCCCUCCCCCCCGCCUCCACAAGCUUUCCUCGCCAUACACAGGAGCCAGGAAUCCGUGCGCAGAAAUUUUUGCUGCACAGGAACCGGCUAACUGUGCGGUGCUCCCCCCUCCACCUCCCCACAUCCUUAUCCCAACUAUCCUUGUCUGACAUCAUGCUCUGCCUGUUUGCGGGUUUGUUUUUUUUUAGGUUUCCUUCUCAAAUCGAAUUUCCCAAUAAUUGGAGGUUUAAUUUGAUACAAUGAGCCUUUUUUUUCUUUUACCCUCUGCUAUCCCUACUCAGAUCCCUACAUGUUUUUUUUCUUUUUUUUUCCUGAAGAAAGGUGCCGCGCAGCAGCUGGAGCUGUCAUUGGCAGGGCAGCUCAAUGUAAUUUCAUUGUAUAUGAAAAUGUGCAAUGACAAAUAAAGCUAUCUAUCUAUCUAACCAAAGCACUCUGUGUGUAACGCCAUAGUAUAGGAUGUAGUUCAGAAAAUGUCAAAGUAUAGUAUACGUUUCAAGAAUAACAUAGUAUGGCCUGUAGUUCAUAGUACAGCAUGUUGGCAAAAAAACCCCCAUAGAUUAUUAUGUGGUUCAAAAAGCGCAAAAUGAUAGGAUGUUGCCUAAAAUUGUCAUGUAUGAUAUGUGGUUCAAAAAAUGUCAUAGUGCAGUAUAUUGUCAAAAUAGUAUGUUAUUCAAGAAAACAUCAGAGUAUAAUAUGUCGUCUAAAAAAUCCCAUAGAAUAAUAUUUCAUUGCACAAGUAAAAGUAUAGUAACUUUUAAAACUGUUGACAUUCUUAUGUUGCUAAAAAACAAGAAAAAACUAAAACAAAAAAAAUCAUAGUAAUAUGUCAAUUAAAGAAGCCUAUAGUAUAGAAUGUCGUCCAACAAACAUCAUAGCAUGGCAUGUCGCUCUAAAAACGUCAUAGUUUAGACUUAAGUCCACAAAAUGUUGUUGUGUCCCGGCUGUCUGAAGUAGGUAAGGAGCAACACAAAAACAGUCCAAACCCUGGUUUACAGAGGGUUAGACGAGUAUUUAUUUGAAAGAGUAAGUUUACAACAACACAACAUGUGAGGGGGUUAAAAGCAAAUGGGUGUUAGUAAAAUAAAAAUAAAUAAACAGAACUAAAAGUGAACUUCAUGUUGACAUUGAUGGGCAUUCCAACCAGGAACAAAGUAAAAAAUAAUCAAUACGAAAAAAAACUCUUCCUGUUCACCUCUUAAAACCCAAAAACACAGCGCAGUAGCACCCUAAACUAAAACUACCAAUGGGUUCCCUGUUUUCCUUUGUGAACAAUUCAAAGGUCCCUCUCUAUCUCCCCACACAUCCACCAACCACUGGAACACAUCUCCAAAGUUCUGCUGGACCAGCUCAGCUUCCCCUCAGAAGUGCUGCCACCUGCCAGAUGAAGGAGCCUUUUGAGAGGCAGCUGGCAUCGUGAUUGGACUGUACUUUGGUCUGUUCCAAUCCAGCUUCAGCUCCAGAGACGGCAGGCGGGACGAGUCAACGGAGGCCGGGUGGAUGAAGGCAUGAAGCUGAGUACAAUCCAGAAAACAACAGAGGAGGAGUGCAGCAGCCCAGAGCCAGAACAACCAGAGUAGCAUGGUAUGUCUCUUAGAAAACAUCAUAGUAGAGCCUUUGGUAUGAAAAAACGCCAUCAUAUACAUCGUAUAUUGUACAAAUAACAAGUCUAAGGAAAGAGACAUACAUUGUAGAAUUGUAGUAAUUGUGGGCUGACUGAUUUACUGAUUAUCAGUAUUUUAUUUUUGACUGAUUUACGGUAAUAAAUACAUUUAAAAAUGG